AAAUGAGAGAAGGGGAGAACACCGGAUCACUCUGGACUGAUGAACCCAACCUAAUUAGCUGGCUCCCAUGACAGUUUUCAACAGUUUUCCAUCCGAUUCUCGAUGAGUUUCUUCAAGUUGUUACCUAGAAAAGUGUUUUCAACCUCCCAUCUCUAAAUUCUAUCAAAAAUCCAAGCUAAUUUGGUAUUGGUUUCAUGGGAAAUGCACCGGUGGGUGUACGGGGUGCACAACGAUGAUUCCGCCAUUUGGGAAAGAAACAUGGUCGACUACCACCUUGGUUCGACUCCUGGUGAGGUAGGGAACAAAACCCAAACAACUGUAGGAGCGGCGGAGCACCGGAGGUGAUGGAUCGAAGCCAUCUAUUUCUAGGGAUUCAGGCGGGUUUGAGGGAAAUUGGAGCGUUUCCCGACCAAAUUGGACUUGGUCAUAGGUGAACUUGGUCUCAAACGGGUGUACUAAUGAUUGGCUUAAGGGCGGAUGAAGUAAACUUCUACAAAGAACCAACGAAAGAUAUGCUUCAAUUCUACAAAGAAAUGGAAGAAGUGGAAACAAGCUUGACACCAGCUCAACCUCAAUCUUUUACAAGUUCAAUGCCUCCUCUAAAUGCAUCUACA